UACGUAGGGGGCGAGCGUUGUCCGGAAUUACUGGGCGUAAAGGGAGCGUAGGCGGUCUUUUAAGUUGGAUGUGAAAUACCCAGGCUUAACUUGGGGGGUGCAUUCAAAACUGGGGGACUAGAGUACAGGAGAGGGAAGCGGAAUUCCUAGUGUAGCGGUGAAAUGCGUAGAUAUUAGGAGGAACACCAGUGGCGAAGGCGGCUUUCUGGACUGACACUGACGCUGAGGCUCGAAAGCGUGGGGAGCAAACAGGAUUAGAUACCCCGGUAGUCCCUGAGCGGGCUGG
rnacentral:rRNA from 1 species